rnacentral:rRNA from 1 species
GACGAACGCUGGCGGCGUGCUUAACACAUGCAAGUCGAACGGAAAGGCCCCUUUGGGGGUACUCGAGUGGCGAACGGGUGAGUAACACGUGAGUAACCUGCCCUUCACUUCGGGAUAACUUCAGGAAACUGGGGCUAAUACCGGAUAGGAAUCCUUGCUGCAUGGUGGGGGUUGGAAAGCUUCGGCGGUUUUGGAUGGACUCGCGGCUUAUCAGCUUGUUGGUGGGGUAGUGGCUUACCAAGGCUUUGACGGGUAGCCGGCCUGAGAGGGCGACCGGCCACAUUGGGACUGAGAUACGGCCCAGACUCCUACGGGAGGCAGCAGUGGGGAAUAUUGCACAAUGGGCGGAAGCCUGAUGCAGCAACGCCGCGUGCGGGAUGACGGCCUUCGGGUUGUAAACCGCUUUCAGCAGGGGCGAAGCUUGUGGUGACGGUACCUGCAGAAGAAGCACCGGCUAACUACGUG